rnacentral:tRNA from 1 species
GGAGAGAUGGAUGAGCGGUUUAAGUCGCACGCCUGGAAAGCGUGUUUAGGGUCAAACCUAACCGGGGUUCGAAUCCCCGUCUCUCCGCCG